AGCGCGGGCAGGACUUCGGUCCUGUUCCGAGCGGCGCACGGGUGAGUAACACGUGAGUAACCUGCCUCGAAGUUUGGGAUAACCGCCCGAAAGGGUGGCUAAUACCGGAUAAGCCCCCACUGGCAUAGGCCAGAGAGGGAAAAGCCUUGGCGCUUCGAGAUGGGCUCGCGUCCCAUUAGCUAGUUGGUGAGGUAACGGCUCACCAAGGCGAAGAUGGGUAGCUGGUCUGAGAGGAUGAUCAGCCACACUGGAACUGAGACACGGUCCAGACUCC
rnacentral:rRNA from 1 species